rnacentral:rRNA from 1 species
GACGAACGCUGGCGGCGUGCUUAACACAUGCAAGUCGAACGGAAAGGCCCCUUCGGGGGUACUCGAGUGGCGAACAGGUGAGUAACACGUGAGUAACCUGCCCUUGACUUCGGGAUAACUUCAGGAAACUGGGGCUAAUACCGGAUAGGAAUCCUUGCUGCAUGGUGGGGGUUGGAAAGCUUCGGCGGUUUUGGAUGGACUCGCGGCUUAUCAGCUUGUUGGUGGGGUAGUGGCUUACCAAGGCUUUGACGGGUAGCCGGCCUGAGAGGGCGACCGGCCACAUUGGGACUGAGAUACGGCCCAGACUCCUACGGGAGGCAGCAGUGGGGAAUAUUGCACAAUGGGCGGAAGCCGGAUGCAGCAACGCCGCGUGCGGGAUGACGGCCUUCGGGUUGUAAACCGCUUUCAGCAGGGGCGAAGCUUGUGGUGACGGUACCUGCAGAAGAAGCACCGGCUAACUACGUG